rnacentral:lncRNA from 1 species
GUGGCGACCUCGACGUGGGGGCGCACCACUCGGACGUGGUGGAUGUUUUGGACGAAGGGAGACGGGAACAACGGGAGCGAAGGGGAGGAGACAAUGCAUACCGUUUGGAUCAAGAAGUUUAAACUGUGCCCUAAUCGGUUGCGUUCUAGGCAGAGAGGAGAGAAUCUCGAGUGACAUUGUUCUGAGGGAAGGGGUUGAAUCGCUUGAUUUCCGGCGUUCAAGGAUGACAAGACACAGAUCCGUGGCCUAGAAGCAGAAAUGAGGUUAUCCUUCUUCUAACUUGCUUAUUUGGUUCUCCCAUUCUGCCUGUAAAUGUUGAUCGUUCUCGUUCUGUCUCCUUUGAUGGCUAAUUGUUGCUAAUCAUGGUGGAUAGUUACAUUUCAUUUUCUCAAAUUUCCUGUGAAUUCAGAGACAUUCUCUAAGUCGUAAAGUUUUUAUUAUCAUAUCAUGCCCAUAGAAUCCGAGACUUGGACAAACCCUAUCUAAAGGUCAAACCAAAGAUCAUAAUGUAUACAGGUCCACUUAAACCCUUUUCUAAAAUCCACAAGACCCAGGUACAGUCAUAUCCCCACAAGAGGGAUCAGGCUUUCAUAUAGUAUGGAAUUUUAUGCUAACAGGGGAUAUAUAUCGACUGAUAUAGGAACAUACGAUAGAGUUUUUAACUAUCAUUAUCUAAUUUGGACGUGAUUGGGUUACAAGAAGCUUGGAGUCAUGAUUUAUUCUCCUGAUUUAUGUGUGGACGAUAAUUUGUGUAGAUGAGCAGCUGCCUAUGAUCUUUGCCGACGAUGGUAAGAUCGCUAAAGCGGUGAUUCAUGCAAUUUUGUAAAAGGGAACUAGUUGGACUGCUAAUUCCACAUUAGAAGGCUAAAAUCUUUUCCAGUUUGUGGACGAUAGCACUUCUCUUGCCUAUUGAGAAGCUUCACUGCUAUGAAAACUGAAGUUUGUUUCAAGUUGAGGCCAAAUAUCCAAUUAUGAGUUAGGUAAGAGCUAGUAAUUCAUUUAAGUUUACUAAAAGCUGCUAAAAAUAAUGGCACGGAUGAUUAAAAUGAUUUACGAACAUUCAUAAGAAAAAUAUGGAAUAACUUCUUUCCAAGGUUACCAAAGUUUUGAGACUCAGUUUUUUUGGGUUUUUCAUAUAAUUUAGUAAUAUAGUUUCCUUUCUAUAAAAUUUAAAGGCCUAAAAGUGAAUGAAGGUGGGUAGUUUACAGGCUUAAUUUGUGAGUCGUGUUCAUGAAUCAAUGAAACUGAAUCUUUGCUGAGUGUAGCAUUAGAUCAGAUUUCUUUUGGACAACAUACUGUUAGUUUUUCUUUUCCCAUUAUUUUCGAAGACUUUAUGAUCUAUGACCAUGAACUUAAUUAUCAAAAAAGAAUUAUGACCAUAACACAUGGUAUUCUUCCAGUUUUGGUGUGUAUCAACUAGACAAAUGUGCUCUUGACACUAGGGGUAAGUGUUGUGAUUGUUUUAAUGUAUGAUAACAUAAGGGUAAAAUUAACUAGAUCCAAGUAGGUUUCACUACAGCAUACCUGAUAAACUUAAGAGAUGCAAAAUAUUGAAACAAUUAGCAAAAGAUGAUAUGAUUCCCAAGAACAACCUUUUGUCAUCCUUGAAACUGGUUUUCAUAUUAUUACAUGUACUUUUCUUUAGAAAGCAUCCGUACUUGAUUGUCUUUGGUGAAAAUCUUCCUUUGAAAUUCAGUCUAGCUUAUUUAUGAAAGUAGCAAGUAUUUUGAUGUUCCAGUCGGAAUGUAACAAAGAGUUCUCGUGUGUGCGCGCGUAUAUGUUUUGUGCGUGUGACCAUGGUAGGAUUUAAUUUUUUGAAGGUAUGGCUAAGCAAUGUUCCUCACACAUGCUUGGGUGGAAACAAAGGAAGCCAAAAUUGGAUUAUAAAGAUAAAAGUCAAAUUAAAAUUUCUUGUAGAUCGAACUCAGUAUAUUCAUGAUCAAUCAGAACUUGAAUCAUAUCUCUAAGACUUCUAGUUUUCUUCAUAUGUAUACCCCAAGAACUUCUCAUAAGCUUAUCAUUUUCCUUUCCAAAUGUGUCUUCUUCUUGCCCUAAUUGUGCGGAUGGUUCCAGAUAUUGCACUUGGUUACCAAACGAGAGUUGAUUUUGAUGCUCCUCAUUGAGUCCCAAGUUUUGUUGCUUUCUCAUACGAUGCUGAUGAGAACCAGAUUCGAUUUCCUCUCGAAUAGGGUGCAUCUGGAAUGGUAGCACUUCUGCAACUCAUUGAUCAUUAAAUCUGAAACAGGCAUUUGACUUAGUUCAUUGUUCAAUACAUCAAAUAAAUUGGAUUCAUGAGACAAAUGUCAGUUCUUAUAUGUGAGUUCUUAUAUGUUAUGACUGCUGUUAGGGAUUUCCUUCGAUUAAAGUUUAUGAACUCUAUGUUGAAUCUUCAUGUUUUUAUAGAAUUCUUGGUUACCAUAGCAAAAAUUCAAGAUUCUCCAUUAUAGAAUUGUUGUUCUUAUCAUAUAAUUGCUUUUUAAAUUGGUUUCCUACUUUUGAUGAAGAUGGAAUUCUGCUUCUUGAUGUCAACAUAAUUCUAGGAGCUGGAGAUUACUGUACAUGGGCAGCACUACCAGUUUACACACAAGGAGAGCCAACAGAAGGUGUGGGCAGGUAUAUCCUCCCAGAAUAAUCUAAGGAAAUUGCAUUAUGCGGCUUCCAUGUUUAGAAUCAAUUCCCCAAGUUUCCGCAUGUUGUUCAUAGCCUCCGUUUGCUUCAUUUCUUGAUCGUAUCCUUUUAUGUUUUUGCAAUGAUCAAAGCUGUUUAAAACUACAUAAAGUUGCCUUUUAUGUUUCUUGAUAUUUGAAUUAGGUCUAUCCUGGAUUCAUCAAACACCAUGUUGGUGAAAGUUUGAUAACUUCUUCUAUGAUUUAUUUUUUACUAUUAUUUUUGCCCCUGUGGUUUGCAAGUGAUUGGGCGUGUAUGUGCUUAGGGGAAUAUCUAUAUAUACUUAAAACACGAUGUUUGUGUCGUAAUGUUGAUCUGAGUCUUGUUGAGAAUCAAGGAAAAUGCCUUUCGCUAUAACAAAGUUACUUCAUUAAUUCCAUUUCGUUCUCAUUUUCUUAAAAAUAUUUCAUGGUGUGACUUUGUCCAGUAUCUACAUCAACUUGUUUUAGAUCAAGCACAAUCUUUUGCUAAACAUUGGCCAUAACUGAUCCAAACAUCUGUUCAUGAUCCAUCAGGUCGUUCGUCACUGACAAAGGUAGUCGAAAGCCCUCGAGGAAAAGAAGGGAAUGCUGUAAAAGGUGAAACUCUAAUGUCACCAUACAAAUUUGCCACCUUCAUUGUAAUCAACAACAGAAAAGAAAUGAGAAAAGCCAUAGAGAUUCUGGUCAUCUUAAUGAUUUCUCAUCUCCAUCCUCCUCCCAGGUUAGCAACGCCGGCGUUUUUGCUCUUUCACCGCCAGUCAAGGCAAUCUGGUGCUGCUACGGGGAAGCUCAAGAGAUAUAAGAGAAUAAUAGUAAGUCUUUCAGUACUACGAAUUCUUCCUCGUCGGCGCCCUUUUCCAUUUCUCUCUUAGGUCGACGACGACCACGCUGAUGUUAUCUGCGCUGUGCCUCGCAAAGGCCAGCUUUGUCAGCAGUACGGCCGCGUCCGAGCACGAUGCAUCGCCGCCAGCGACUUCCUCUUCUUCGUCGCCGCCGCCCUGCAGGCACAUCCUUGCGAUGUCGCAGGCCGUCUCGUUGCUCACCACGUCCCACAGCCCGUCGCUCGCCAGGAUCAGGCACUCGUCGCCCUCCUCCCUAUCCAACACCGUCACCUCCGGCUCCGAUAUCACGUACGGCUUCAAAUAACUGUCCCCUGUUUUUAUGGUUCAUGUUUUUACGAUCGACUGAUUAACCCCACAGACUUCCAGAUACUCGGAUGGGGGAGGGAGAAGAAACAGCGGACUUGGAGCUUACCUAUGGCUCGAGACAUGGCGAGCACGCCAAGAACCCUCGCCCCGUCCCAAUAGAUCACUCGACCCCCA